AGAGUUUGAUCCUGGCUCAGGACGAACGCUGGCGGCACGCCUAACACAUGCAAGUCGAACGGAGAUGAUUUGAGUUUACUUAGAUCAUCUUAGUGGCGGACGGGUGAGUAACACGUGAGCAACCUGCCUUUGAGAGAGGGAUAGCUUCUGGAAACGGACGGUAAUACCUCAUAACAUACAGAUACCGCAUGGUGACUGUAUCAAAGAUUUAUCACUCAAAGAUGGGCUCGCGUCUGAUUAGAUAGUUGGUGAGGUAACGGCUCACCAAGUCGACGAUCAGUAGCCGGACUGAGAGGUUGAACGGCCACAUUGGGACUGAGACACGGCCCAGACUCCUACGGGAGGCAGAAGUGGGGAAUAUUGCACAAUGGGGGAAACCCUGAUGCAGCGACGCCGCGUGGAGGAAGAAGGUCUUCGGGUUGUAAACUCCUGUUGUUGAGGAAGAUAAUGACGGUACUCAACAAGGAAGUGACGGCUAACUACGUGCCAGCAGCCGCGGUAAAACGUAGGUCACAAGCGUUGUCCGGAAUUACUGGGUGUAAAGGGAGCGCAGGCGGGAAGACAAGUUGGAAGUGAAAUCCAUGGGCUCAACCCAUGAACUGCUUUCAAAACUGUUUUUCUUGAGUAGUGCAGAGGUAGGCGGAAUUCCCGGUGUAGCGGUGGAAUGCGUAGAUAUCGGGAGGAACACCAGUGGCGAAGGCGGCCUACUGGGCACCAACUGACGCUGAGGCUCGAAAGUGUGGGUAGCAAACAGGAUUAGAUACCCUGGUAGUCCACACCGUAAACGAUGAUUACUAGGUGUUGGAGGAUUGACCCCUUCAGUGCCGCAGUUAACACAAUAAGUAAUCCACCUGGGGAGUACGACCGCAAGGUUGAAACUCAAAGGAAUUGGCGGGGGCCCGCACAAGCAGUGGAGUAUGUGGUUUAAUUCGACGCAACGCGAAGAACCUUACCAAGUCUUGACAUCCUGCGACGAUGCUGGAAACAGUAUUUUCCUUCGGGACGCAGAGACAGGUGGUGCAUGGUUGUCGUCAGCUCGUGUCGUGAGAUGUUGGGUUAAGUCCCGCAACGAGCGCAACCCUUAUGGUCAGUUACUACGCAAGAGGACUCUGGCCAGACUGCCGUUGACAAAACGGAGGAAGGUGGGGGUGACGUCAAAUCAUCAUGCCCUUCAUGACUUGGGCUACACACGUACUACAAUGGCGUUAAACAAAGAGAAGCAAGACCGCGAGGUGGAGCAAAACUCAGGAACAACGUCCCAGUUCGGACUGCAGGCUGCAACUCGCCUGCACGAAGUCGGAAUUGCUAGUAAUCGUGGAUCAGCAUGCCACAGUGAAUACGUUCCCGGGCCUUGUACACACCGCCCGUCACACCAUGAGAGCCGGGGGGACCCGAAGUCGGUAGUCUAACCGCAAGGAGGACGCCGCCGAAGGUAAAACUGGUGAUUGGGGUGAAGUCGUAACAAGGUA
rnacentral:rRNA from 1 species